AAGUAUUGAAGUAAUAAUAUAUUACAUUUAGUUUCGACCUAAAAUUAGAGUAAUAAUCUCCCUACUUG
rnacentral:tRNA from 1 species